rnacentral:rRNA from 1 species
UACGUAGGUGGCGAGCGUUGUCCGGAUUUACUGGGCGUAAAGCGCACGCAGGCGGCCUGUCAAGUCUAGGGUGAAAUCUCCUGGCUCAACCAGGAUAGGUCUCUAGAUACUGACAGGCUUGAGGGCAGCAGAGGAGAGCAGAAUUCCCGGUGUAGCGGUGAUAUGCGUAGAUAUCGGGAGGAAUACCAGUGGCGAAGGCGGCUCUCUGGGCUGUCCCUGACGCUGAGGUGCGAAAGCGUGGGGAGCAAACAGG